GAUGAACGCUGGCGGCGUGCCUAAUACAUGCAAGUCGAGCGAACAGACGAGGAGCUUGCUCCUCUGACGUUAGCGGCGGACGGGUGAGUAACACGUGGAUAACCUACCUAUAAGACUGGGAUAACUUCGGGAAACCGGAGCUAAUACCGGAUAAUAUAUUGAACCGCAUGGUUCAAUAGUGAAAGACGGUUUUGCUGUCACUUAUAGAUGGAUCCGCGCCGCAUUAGCUAGUUGGUAAGGUAACGGCUUACCAAGGCAACGAUGCGUAGCCGACCUGAGAGGGUGGUAGGCCACACGGGAACUGAGACACGGUCCAGACUCCUACGGGAGGCAGCAGUAGGGAAUCUUCCGCAAUGGGCGAAAGCCUGACGGAGCAACGCCGCGUGAGUGAUGAAGGUCUUCGGAUCGUAAAACUCUGUUAUUAGGGAAGAACAAAUGUGUAAGUAACUAUGCACGUCUUGACGGUACCUAAUCAGAAAGCCACGGCUAACUACGUG
rnacentral:rRNA from 1 species